CUCAAUUCACUCUUGUGUCACUAAAAGGAACUAGAAGUUAAUCAAAGAUGAUAUAAUAUUAAACUAGAAUGGCUAUUGCCAAAAAACAAAAAGACUAAAAAGUCUUAAAACAAGACUAAGGACUAGAAAGGCAUUGAUAAGAAUAAAAAAGGCUUCAUUCUUGCCUCUAUAUAUACUCUUAACUAAGAGCUAUGUAGUAAUGUCCUAUAGGACCUCCAAAACAUGUUGACUUUACAAGACACGUAUCUUAACUUGUA
rnacentral:lncRNA from 1 species